GUUGCCGUUGUACGUCCGUCGUAUUCCAUUACCAUGAAGCAUGAAGCCGUCAACGUUAAUGUCAAGUCGUCAAGUGCGUCAACCGUCAAUAACCGAUAGUAAUGUGUUUGGGGCAUGGAUUCAUGGGUCUAUGAAGAAAGCAGAUGAACAUCACAUGUUGCAGCAGCAUCUGGAGAGAGAAGAACAGACGUGGUCUGUUGAGUGAAAUAGUGCAAGUUCCUUCAAGAGACUCCCUACAACCCAACUUACCUGUCUGAAACAAUAAGUGACUGACAUUUUGCAGUAGCAGUGGAAUAUGGAACCAUUCAUUGUAGCUGUUUUCUAUGUUGUUUGUUCAGUAGCUACGUAGAAAAGCUAAAAUUAAAAAUUGCUUGUGGAAUGUAAUCUUGGCAUCACUAUUGAUCUUGGUACUCCUCAAUUGUAUGCCAAAGAGAAAAAUGCAAAUUAGAACCUGACAGACAAGAAACUGCAAGAAGAGGUUAGUCAUUAUUUACUGUUUGUUUAUCUUUUGUUGUUUUAGAGUAUCUUCUUCAACGUCAAAAUGACACAUGUGGUUGAGGCCAUUGACUGCCAACAGAAACAAGGCCAAUUACUGCAAUUUGAUUUUUUGUUAUAAAAAGAUAGUAGCUUUGCAACCCAAAUGGAAGAACAGGUUAUUGCAAGCAAUUUACAAUGUUGUCCUCGGCCUAUCGUGAGUGAUCUUAAGAGGAUAAGGUUUUAGCAUGGUGGUAAAUAAUAGCUGACUGAGAGCAACAAUCAGUGAUCACACUGUUGUAAGAAUUGGGUAUCUUGAAGUUUUCUGCAUAGAUUAUGUCCACACUGUAAUGGUUCUGAUGGCGUGCAUUAAAAUGAUCCAUCAACUUCAAGUUUUCUUAGCACUUUCUAUCCUCUGGCCACAAAAUUCCUUUUAGGUGAUGUAGUGAUUCAAAAGGGAUCACAUGGAAAGAAAAAUGCCUUCAAUACUUGAAAAGGAAGAUAAAAAACACUAAAAAGUGAAAGAUGUGUUUGGGUGUGCAUGCUGACUUCGAAGGAGUAAGAAUUUAUUUGUCAAUCUAUAAACGAAUAUGACAAUGAUAGUACGGAAAAAAUAUCAACAUUUCCCGUCAAGAAAUAUGGGUUUCACUUGAAAACCCUCUAGUUCUUUUACAAACAACCAUUUGGUCAAUGGCAAGUCAUUUUGCGUGAAGCUCUGUCAUCCCAUUAACUGAGUUUUUCCUGCGACGUUGCAUAAUAUUCUUACCAAUUACAUUAAUCGGCCCCUGACUGCAUGCUUCAAUAUGUCCCCGCAGUAACGGAAUGGUACCUACAGUUGGUGGUGUCCAGCCAGUGAGGAAUCGUAUUUCAUGGCUCCCAAGAAUCGGGAUUUGUUUCAAACGAAAUGCCUAAUACUGCCAUGGAUCAUGCAGCAAUCCUAAACGAUGAUAAGUUAGUGGACUCGUGUGCUCCUCGAAAGGCUGGUGGAAAGUUGCCAAUCGUGAAUGGUAAUGCGGACUAGUGGGAUUCCGCAAAAGCUGGUGAAAAUGUACCAAAGAUAAAAGACGCGGAGUAUUUCUUCUGUCAAUUCAAAUGCCAGUCGAGGUUACGUGAAACAAAUACACUGGUAAAACGGUGAACCCAUUGUGUUUCCCACUCAAACAAUCCUAUUGAACUCCACAAGCGGGUAGUGCCGAUUUCGUGUCCCAUUCAACUUUUCUACCCACCUCACAAAAGAUUACAAGGGUCAACGACGAUCCUCGAAACCGUAUUUUUCGACAACCCCUACAGCUUUUGCUGCUAUACGGUUGAUGUGGGUCCACUUCUUGAAGACUUACUGGACAAAUUGGCUGCAGCUUACACAGAAUCUAUAACAAGCGUGUGGGUGUCGGUAAUACAAGGAUGAUGGCUGGCGGCACUGUGGCCUAAUCUUGAAAGUGGAAGGAAGUGAAGCCGAAGUGCUAUUUGUAGACAGUGACAAUAAACAGCUUACUUCCACUAGGCCAGUCAAGCAUACUGAGUCAAAUUGCCGUCCCUGGCUUAUCAUUGUUGUCUGGACGGCAUUCCAAAAUCCUCCGUUCUUGGACAUCCGAAGAUAAGGCACCGUUUUGACAAUGUUUAACAAUGUUGACCUUUUAACAAUGUUUCACAAUGUUAAAAGGUUCUUCCUCUGGUCUGUUAAUCUUUCACCGUAUCAGAUAUUUUGUCUCUGUUUUAGAAUUCUGUACAUAGCUGAUGAGACUUACUUUUAUGAAUCCUAGAGAGAAUCGGACGAGAUGGGUGAUGAGAGCAACUUGCAAUUUAUCUUUGCCAUGGUUCUUCAUUGAUAUGUACUUUUUUUUCUAAACAUACGUGGCAGCGCAUGUUGAAUAAAUAAGAAUAAAUGAAGUGGAACAAUGUCA
rnacentral:lncRNA from 1 species